AGAGUUUGAUCCUGGCUCAGGAUGAACGCUAGCUACAGGCUUAACACAUGCAAGUCGAGGGGCAGCAUGACGAUAGCUUGCUAUUGUUGAUGGCGACCGGCGCACGGGUGAGUAACGCGUAUCCAACCUUCCCGUUGCUAGGGGAUAACCUUGCGAAAGUAAGACUAAUACCCUAUGAUGUUCUUCGCAGACAUCUAAAGAGAACCAAGGAUUUAUCGGCAACGGAUGGGGAUGCGUCUGAUUAGGUUGUUGGCGGGGUAACGGCCCACCAAGCCUACGAUCAGUAGGGGUUCUGAGAGGAAGGUCCCCCACAUUGGAACUGAGACACGGUCCAAACUCCUACGGGAGGCAGCAGUGAGGAAUAUUGGUCAAUGGACGGAAGUCUGAACCAGCCAAGUAGCGUGCAGGAUGACGGCCCUAUGGGUUGUAAACUGCUUUUAUGUGGGAAUAAAGUGAGGGACGUGUCCCUUUUUGUAGGUACCACAUGAAUAAGGACCGGCUAAUUCCGUGCCAGCAGCCGCGGUAAUACGGAAGGUCCGGGCGUUAUCCGGAUUUAUUGGGUUUAAAGGGAGCGUAGGCCGUCUUUUAAGCGUGUUGUGAAAUACUGUCGCUCAACGACAGAGGUGCAGCGCGAACUGGGAGACUUGAGUGCGCGGAAUGCAGGCGGAAUUCGUCGUGUAGCGGUGAAAUGCUUAGAUAUGACGAAGAACUCCGAUUGCGAAGGCAGCUUGCAGUAGCGUAACUGACGCUGAAGCUCGAAAGUGCGGGUAUCGAACAGGAUUAGAUACCCUGGUAGUCCGCACGGUAAACGAUGGAUGCUCGCUGUGUGCCCCUGGGUACGCGGCCAAGCGAAAGCGUUAAGCAUCCCACCUGGGGAGUACGCCGGCAACGGUGAAACUCAAAGGAAUUGACGGGGACCCGCACAAGCGGUGGAGCAUGUGGUUUAAUUCGAAGCAACGCGAAGAACCUUGCCAAGUCUUGACAUCCUUCUGACCGGUACUUAACCGUACCUUCUCUUCGGAGCAGGAGUGUCAGGUGGUGCAUGGUUGUCGUCAGCUCGUGUCGUGAGAUGUUGGGUUAAGUCCCGCAACGAGCGCAACCCUUAUCUUUAGUAGCCAGCGGUUCGGCCGGGCACUCUAGAGAGACUGCCAGGGAUAACCUGGAGGAAGGCGGGGAUGACGUCAAAUCAUCAUGCCCCUUAUGACUUGGGCUACACACGUGCUACAAUGGCGUAAACAAAGGGAAGCAAAGCUGUGAAGCCGAGCAAAUCUCAAAAAUAACGUCUCAGUUCGGACUGUAGUCUGCAACCCGACUACACGAAGCUGGAAUCGCUAGUAAUCGCAGAUCAGAAUACUGCGGUGAAUACGCUCCCGGGUCUUGUACACACCGCCCGUCACACCAUGGGAGUUGGGAAUGCCCAAAGCCAGUGACCUAACCGAAAGGAAGGAGCUGUCGA
rnacentral:rRNA from 1 species